rnacentral:rRNA from 1 species
UACAGAGGGUGCGAGCGUUGUCCGGAAUCACUGGGCGUAAAGGGUGCGUAGGCGGCUGUGCAAGUCUGGCGUGAAAGCCCCGGGCUCAGCCCGGGAAGUGCGCUCGAAACUGCACGGCUCGAGUGCCGGAGGGGAGAGUGGAAUUCCUGGUGUAGCGGUGAAAUGCGUAGAUAUCAGGAGGAAUACCAGUGGCGAAGGCGACUACCUGGCCUGUUCUUGACGCUGAGGCGCGAAAGCUAGGGGAGCAAACGGG